GGGCUGGGCUGGUGGGCGAGACUUUAGCUCCAUUUAUAGACAAAGUCUCCCUAGAAAGAGAGGGAGAGUCAAUGAAGGAGCUCAUGUGCCAGUAAAAACAGUUGAUAUACACAAAGAAGACCGACCCACCAGUGAUAUCACAGAAGUUUCUGUUUAAAAAAGAAAGAAAGGAGGAAAACAAGACAGAAAAGAAGAAAAGAAAAGUAAAUUUACCAGAAAAGCUACAGAAUUAAGUAAGUACAUUUAAAAACCUCUAACAUUUUGAAUUUGUUGUUGAUUGCACCUUUAAUUAAGGGUUUUAAAACAUGAAAGUUUUAUUAAUUUUUCAUUACUUGUUGGCCUGAAGCUUAUUGCACCAAAAAUGUUUGAUAAGUUUGUUUUUUGUGUCUUGUUUCCUUUAGAAACCAUCAUAAAUUCUCAGAUUUAAGUCAGAAUUCUCAGAUAAAAGUUGGAAUCUCUUGAGCUAAAUCCGCAUCUUAGAAUUCAUGUCAGAAUUUAGAGUAUUGUUAGUGCUGAAGGACUUAAAAGGGAACUUUGGUCUUCUUCAAUCUGGGCCCUGUUUUCCCAUCUGUUUGACUGAUGGAGGAACAGUUUCUGAAACUGGUCUAGUAUUGAGGGAGAGCGAAUCAGCCGCCAAACUAUUUUAACCGUAGUUGGACCAGAUGAUUGAGCAUUGCCAAACUGCGUUCUUUACUCAGACUGUUAUUUCAAGUCCUCUUGUGUGUCAGAGGUAUCAACACCACCGAUGUUGGGCAUCAACAGGUUCCACUCAUCACAACACACACAUUCUUCUUGUGGGCAGAGGAUCACAGCACCCACAGGAACACCAACAGUCUCCUAAACUCUGUGGUCUUGCAGCAGCUGGUUUGCCCUCCUCUGCUUGUUGACCCUCUCUCUCUACAUCUCUGUCACUCUCUUGCUCUCUCCCUCUCUUUAAACCAAGAUUGGGAGAUUGAAGCCUAGAUUUGAACUUCAAAAGAGGAUUUUAAGAUUGAGGCCAUAAUUCUGAGACUCAAGUCCAAUCUCAGAUUUGAGUGUUCUUAGGUGUAACUUAGGGUUCCGACACUAGCUUUAAUCUGAGGAUUCUGGCUUUAUUAAUAGAAUCUGGAUUUUUUCUUAGACUUUUGGGAUGAAGUCAGAAUCCUAAGAUUUAUUCUCACCGUGAUUGUUCUGUUUUUUUCUCUUUCUGAAUAUCAUCUCGUACAAUCCCAGAUUUCUAAGAAAAAAGAAAUACAAAUCCAAUUACUUAUUUUCUCCCAGAAUAUUUUUUUUUUCAGACAUUUUAAUUAGAUUUUUUCUAGAUUCCUGGCUUUCAAUAUAAAGUUCAGAGAAAAAAAUUCUUUACUGAUCUUUAUUCUUACUUGUUGUAAAGGAGAGUCAGUGGGGUUGUAAAUUUUUAGUUGAUUGUAACCACUAAAUUUUCGUAGUUUAAUAUUAUGAUUUAUUCUUCAGUCUUUGUUUACACAAACAGUCGAAUCUUCUCUAGAAUUUCAUCAGAGUUACAGCCCACACACAUUUCAAUUAUGGCUAAAAACACAAAAAAAGCAACAAUGAUUAGAAUGUGUUUUCUUAAGAAGAAUGUAUCCAAUUUUUAGUGUGUGUGUGUGUGUGUGUGUGUGUGUGUGUGUGUGUGUGUGUGUGUGUGUGUGUGUGUGUGUGUGUGUGUGUGUGUGUGUUUCAAAGAGAGGCCAGGUCUAUGGUCUAUUUCCACAGUCAGCAGGACUAGUGGUGUGCAAACAUGUGCUGUACACGGGUUAAGUCACACUUUUGAAGCCCUGGAUACACACACUAAAACACACACUAGAACACACACACACAAAUACCAAAUACGACUAUCAAAUAUUGACACACUCAGCUGGGAAGAACACCAUCUUUGUUAAUUUUUGAUCAACCUGUGUGUGUGUGUGUGUGUGUGUGUGUGUGUGUGUGUGUGUGUGUGUGUGUGUGUGUGUGUGUGUGUGUGUGUGUGUGUGUGUGUGUGUGUGUAACUGACACCUGAUAGUUACAAUAAAAGGUCACGUGGGGUCGAUCUUCUCCCUGUUUUAGUUUUCAUGACAACUCUCAUUAUAAACUUUGAGGUGGUGGAGCUUUAGAGUGGAUCACUGCCAACUAUGAUGGUGUGUGACUGUGUGGUACAGACAGUUUCAUGAUUUCAACAAAGUUUAAAAAGAAAUCCAAAAAUAAACACAACUCUCUGUGGGCUUUUUUCCAGGUUUCAUGCAGAGGGACAUCCAGAAACUGUUUGCCAAUUAAAAAAGAAACUUUUUCCCAACUUGAGUCUUAACUAAGACUGAAGCUCUUAGCAGUAAAACAUGCCUUUAAUAAUAAUGAGAAUUAACCAAGGUAAAAUGUAGGAAUCUGAAGAACCUCAUAUUAUGUUGAUUUGUUGGCUAACAUAAACUUUAGAUCACCCAGUCCAUCUAUAUUCCAACCUUAUCAUACCUAUGAUCACAAGCGUUCUGAAGUGACCUGAAGACUGAGACAGCUCACUGAAGGAUGGAAACCAACCACUUCUUACUGUCUCCACACAACAAGCAUGAGUAAAAUCAUUUGCACAAAUUAAUUACAUGUUCAGUCAAUGUCCGGAUGCGAUUAGAUGCUCCUACUACUCUUCCGGCGCGAAUGAUGCGAAUUGGGUGGAAGCUGGAUGUCUCAACUCCAGCGGAUAAUUGCGUCGUGAAAACUAAUAAGCACAAAGGUUUCCGGGUGACGUAUGAAAAUGGACGGUUGUUCACUGGUGUCAAAAAUGGAGGACAAACUGAUAGUGUCGGUGUGUGGGUACCCCGAAUUAUAUGAUACGAGUAGAUGAUUUUACUCAUGCUUGGUGUGAGUGCCCCAUCAGAGUUUGCUGAAAAGAACAUAAUGGGCCCAGCAUAAGAGACAGGUUCAAGGCUCAGGUUCAGGGCUCAGACUCUAGGGGGAAGCUUGAAGUAGAAAAGAUACUCCUUUACAUCAAGACUUGGUGAAGCUUAAAGGCUUCUGACAAGGGUCCCUGCUGGGCAUUUCCCUUUAGAGGUUUUCCAGGGACAAAAAACUGGGACGGGGACCAA